rnacentral:rRNA from 1 species
ACUCCUACGGGAGGCAGCAGUAGGGAAUCUUCCACAAUGGGCGAAAGCCUGAUGGAGCAACGCCGCGUGGGUGAAGAAGGUCUUCGGAUCGUAAAACCUGUUGUUAGAGAAGAAGUGCGUGAGAGUAACUGUUCACGUUUCGACGGUAUCUAACCAGAAAGCCACGGCUAACUACGUGCCAGCAGCCGCGGUAAUACGUAGGUGGCAAGCGUUAUCCGGAUUUAUUGGGCGUAAAGGGAACGCAGGCGGUCUUUAAGUCUGAUGUGAAAGCCUUCGGCUUAACCGGAGUAGUGCAUUGGAAACUGGGAGACUUGAGUGCAGAAGAGGAGAGUGGAACUCCAUGUGUAGCGGUGAAAUGCGUAGAUAUAUGGAAGAACACCAGUGGCGAAAGCGGCUCUCUGGUCUGUAACUGACGCUGAGGUUCGAAAGCGU